GUCCACGCCGUAAACGAUGUCAACUAGCCGUUGGAGACCUUAGAGUCUUUAGUGGCGCAGCUAACGCACUAAGUUGACCGCCUGGGGAGUACGGCCGCAAGGUUAAAACUCAAAUGAAUUGACGGGGGCCCCGCACAAGCGGUGGAGCAUGUGGUUUAAUUCGAUGCAACGCGAAGAACCUUACCGCCCCUUGACAUCCUGGGAACUCGCUAGAGAUAGCUUGGUGCCGAAAGGAACCCAGAGACAGGUGCUGCAUGGCUGUCGU
rnacentral:rRNA from 1 species